AUGCUACUGACCAUUCAGUUAAAAAAGCCCAACAACAGAAGGAUCAUUUUUGGAUGUUUGGGUGAUAAUUUAGCUAAUGGAGCUUUCUUUCUUUAUCUNNCAAAAUGUUCCCGUGUUAUCUUCAUUCCACCAUCCUGGUGGAUAUUUUCCCUCCCGCUGCGGCCAAGCAGACUCCAGUUGAAAACAAUAACUGGAAACCAUGCAGCAACAUCCCCAACAUCCCCACUUUUACCAAGUUCACUGCAUCCUCCAGGGCCAUCCUCUUCACACAAGGGGCUUAACAAAUGUUGUUGGCAGAUGGAUUCACAGAAAGAAUCAUUCUGGGUGGCUUUCUAGCCCAUCUUUUCUAGGUUACAAGCAGAAAAAGUAUUCAACAGUGAAAGAAGGAGGGGGAAAAAAACAGACUGGGAUCUGAUUACCAGCUGACUUGCUUUUGCUUUUGUUAGUAGUGUAUUUUAUUAUUUACUGAGCAAUCUAAACUACUUGGCGGCUACAGUAAAAAUGAGGGGUCCUAAAGUAAUGCUGGAGAAUAAUUUUCAAAAGGCUAAAAAGAUGAUCUCAUACAUACAUAAAAUAAACAUGUGGUGAAUGAUUUUAUCCAACUCAGUUAAUGAGGGAAAUGGUAAAAGACUGGGGUUGAAUAAGAAUUGGAGGAGCUUAAGUAUUUAUAAAUUUAAAAAGGAAUGUUAGUAUUACUUAAGAUUACUAAGUUAGAUACAAAAUUAGUUAAUGUCCUACAGGGCCACAAGCCUCAGCCUAUAGGGUUAUCUUUCCCACUGAACAGAAAUUAUCUGUCUCUAACCAGACAGAAAUCUACAUGUUAACCUCUGCUGCUAUGGAGUUGUCAAAUAACAGUCAACAGACAGUUAAAGGAGCAAGCUGGGCAGUGCACUGGAAGAACACCCAGAAACCCCCUCUCCUGUCUCUAGCCUGAGUUUUGAAUAAUUGUUCUGACACUCAUAAGAGGCUCUCAAAAGGGAAUGGCAAAGGCCUGACAUCAUACUAGAACAGCACGCAGGUCUCGCUAAUGCACAGGACAUUGUACCAGUUACAAAGAACACUCUUAGGGCUGGUGUUCAAUCUGCACAGUUUGAGGUAACACGACUUGAUUUAUGUAAUGACAAGACUCAGAGACAUAGGGCUCACAAAAAUAUGUUCCAGUGAAUAUUAAUGAGCACAGAGGUCAUCUACAUGGCAGCCUCGGUGGUCUGGAACCCAGUUGGGAACCAACCUACACAUAAAUUUAAAGGGCACUGAAGUCCAGUUUUAGAGUUAAUUCUCACAGCCUGUCUCAUCUGCAGAGUACUGGACACAGUGAUUUAUUAGUAGAGAGGUGCCUUUAGAGAGGAAUACGUAAUCCAUAAGCACCCAGGGCCACUUAGUUACAGGCUACAGCUCUCUAAACCUCUGAAGGUAUUGAUGUCUAAUAGUAAAGUCCUAUAAGAAAACGAAGAUCAUGACAUCCGGUCCCAUCACUUCAUGGGAAAUAGAU
rnacentral:lncRNA from 1 species